rnacentral:lncRNA from 1 species
AAGCCCUUUCUUCCUGUUCCUCCUGCUCAGGUUGAGGCUUCACUUUCCAUGGAGAGAGGCCCCUUCCUGCACCCUGGGGAGGGAGGCUGUCCACAGGUAGGGCCAGGCCCGGUCAGUGGUGCAUGGCCUGAGUAGGGUGGGGGGGCACGGGACCCCUGGAAGGUGAGAGACCAAGAGCCUUAGCUGGUCUGGGGGCUGGUGUGGGGGCGAGCAGAGCCAGUCCCGCCCUUCCCAGCAAGUGAGGACGACCAUGACCUGGUUCCUGGAAGGCGGAACAAGGAGUGGCGGGAUUUCUGCAGGUGUGACCGGGGUUUCUAAUCAGGUGACUUGGCGUUCAUCAGAAGGGAGGUUGAUCUGGCCGAGCCUGGCUAGCUCAGGUGCACCCUUUAAGAGGCUGGAAGCCACAGAGCCGCCCCCUCCUGAUGCCAAAGAAGCAUAUGGCCAUCGGCUCCACAGCUGCGAGAAAGAUUAUGCACACAACGACAUGCGCUCAGGAGGGGACCUCGCGCCUCGGUUGAGAUCCCAGCCCUGGCUGACACCUUGAGUGCAGCCUGUGAGACCCUGAGCAGAGGUUCAGCAGUCCCCUCCCCGGACUCCUGCCACACAGAAGCCAUGAGCUGACAGAACCAAGGACACACACCUUGUUAACGACGCCCUCAAGGCUGUGAGGAGAAAGACAACCGGGUGAAGCAACGCUGGGAAUUCAACGCAUCAAUUACCUUCCCAGGUAACAGCAGCUACUUGAGCUCCUAAGAGUUGACCUUCAGCUGCUGUCAUGGAAAAUAGUGGGGGUCAACUAGACAUCAAAGAUGAAAGGCCAGGCCUCCAGCACAACUUUCUCUGUAAGCUCGAUAGUGGCUUUCUCAAAGAAAUCCUUUUCUCAAAAAAAUUUCUUGUAAAGACAGGGUCUUGUUCUGUCACCCAGGCUGGACUGCAGUGCAUGGCUCACUGCAGCCUCAACCUCCCGGGCUAGAGUGAUCCUCCCCUUUUCUGAGGAGCUCAGACCACAAGCGUGCACCACUGUGCCCAGCUGAUUUAUAAACUUUUUUUUUAGAGACAGGGUUUCACCAUGUUGGCCAGGCUGUUU